UAUAUACUCCCUCCGUCCCAAAAUUCUUGUCUUAAAUUUGUCUAAAUACAGAUGUAUCAAGUCACGUUUUAGUAUUAGAUACAUCUGUAUCUAGACUAAUCUAAGACAAGAAUUUUGGGACGGAGGGAGUAUUAA
rfam:Triticum urartu cultivar G1812 contig1194537, whole genome shotgun sequence.